ACCCGCUGAACUUAAACAUAUCACUAAGCGGAGGAAAAGAAAUCAACGAAGAUUGCCUUAGUACCGGCGAGGGAAGCGGCAAGAGCCCAAAUUGGAAAUCUCCGGUCUUCGAUCGGCGAAUUGUAAUCUAGAGCGUGUUUACUCAAUGGUUGGUGGCGCAGAAGUGCCCUGGCAAGGGCCGCCAGAGAGGGUGACAGCCCCGUAUGUGGUGCCGCCGGCUAACGAGUGGGUGCGUGUAGAGUCGCGUUGUUUGGGAUUGCAGCGCAAAGUGGGGGAUAGACUUCCUCUAAGGCUAAAUAUAUACGGGAAACCGAUAGCGAACAAGUACUGUGAAGGAAAGAUGAAAAGAACUUUGAAAAGAGGGUCAAAAGACUUGAAACCGUUGAGAAGGAAGCGGUAGAAGUGUAUUGUCGGUGUUGAUCUGUGGUAUCUGCCUAAGUCCCAAUGGUGUGUUGCACUGUAAAAAGGCGGCUGCUGUUGUGGGUGGAAGUGGGUGCUUUGGUUGAUAUCGUUAGGCAAGAUGGGGUGGUGUUCGGGCAUAGGCUUUGCGUAGCUGGCAGUCUUCGGGUUGUACUGCGUGUUUGCCGGUCCUAAUAUCGUCUGAGGAUGCUUUGUGCGAUCUUGCCAAAAAGGCUUUUACCGGCCCGUCUUGAAACACGGACCAAGGAGUCUAACAUAUGUGCGAGUGUGCUGGUGGAAAAACCAACACGCGUAAUUAACGUGAUAGAUGCCACGCGUAAGCUGCAGCAUCGACCGACCAUGAUCUUUUGUGAAAGGUUUGAGUAUGAGCAUAUCUGUUAGGACCCGAAAGAUGGUGAACUAUGCCUGAGUAGGGUGAAGCCAGGGGAAACUCUGGUGGAGGCUCGCAGCGGUACUGACGUGCAAAUCGUUCGUCGAACUUGGGUAUAGGGGCGAAAGACUAAUCGAACCAUCUAGUAGCUGGUUCCCUCCGAAGUUUCCCUCAGGAUAGCUGGGACAACUACGCAGUUUUAUCAGGUAAAGCGAAUGGUUAGAGGCAUCAGGGGCAAGCUGCCCUUGACCUAUUCUCAAACUUUAAAUUGGUAAGAACCCGGGCCUAGACUUAAGUGAGGCUCCGGGGCUCAAUGCGUGUCCUUAGUGGGCCAUUUUUGGUAAGCAGAACUGGCGAUGAGGGAUGCUCCUAACGUUGAGUUAAGGUGCCCAACUACACGCUCAUCAGAUACCACAAAGGGUGUUGGUCCAUCCAGACAGCAGGACGGUGGCCAUGGAAGUCGGAAUCCGCUAAGGAGUGUGUUACAACUCACCUGCCGAAUGGACUAGCCCCGAAAAUGGAUGGCGCUCAAGCGUGUGACCGAUACUCAACCAUUGUUGCGAGAGUGAGGCUUCAAUGAGUAGGGGGGCGUGAGCGUUGUUGAGAAGCCUAGGACGUGAGUCUGGGUUGAACGGCGUUUAGUGCAGAUCUUGGUGGUAGUAGCAAUUAUUCAAAUGAGAACUUUGAAGGCCGAAGUGGAGAAGGGUUCCGUGAGAACAGCAAUUGGUCACGGGUGACUCGAUCCUAAGACAUGGGGAAAUUCCUUGUAAAGUGUGCCGUUUGGCGCGUAGUCGAAAGGGAAUGAGGUUAAUAUUCCUCAAGCCGGACGUGGAUUUUGUAUGGUAACAUAAAUGAGCUCUGAGACGCCAGCGCGAGCCUCUGGAAGAGUUCUCUUUUCUUUUUAACAGAUUAAUAUCCUUGAAAUUGGAUUAUCCAGAGCUAAGGUUAUAUAUCUGGAAGAGCACCUUGCUUUUCAGGGUGUCAGGUGCGCUCGCGAUGGUCCAUGAAAAUCAGGGUGAGAGUUUGGUUUCACGCCGGGUCGUACCCACAACCGCAUCAGGUCUCCAAGGUU
rnacentral:rRNA from 1 species